CCUACGGGAGGCAGCAGUGAGGAAUAUUGGUCAAUGGACGCAAGUCUGAACCAGCCAUGCCGCGUGCAGGAAGACGGCUCUAUGAGUUGUAAACUGCUUUUGUACGAGGGUAAACGCAGAUACGCGUAUCUGUCUGAAAGUAUCGUACGAAUAAGGAUCGGCUAACUCCGUGCCAGCAGCCGCGGUAAUACGGAGGAUUCAAGCGUUAUCCGGAUUUAUUGGGUUUAAAGGGUGCGUAGGCGGUCGGAUAAGUUAGAGGUGAAAUCCCGAGGCUCAACUUCGGAAUUGCCUCUGAUACUGUUCGGCUAGAGAGUAGUUGCGGUAGGAGGAAUGUAUGGUGUAGCGGUGAAAUGCUUAGAGAUCAUACAGAACACCGAUUGCGAAGGCAGCUUACCAAGCUACUUCUGACGUUGAGGCACGAAAGCGUGGGUAGCAAACAGGAUUAGAUACCCGGGUAGUC
rnacentral:rRNA from 1 species